AAGACAUAACUGCCACAAAGCUCUCAUUCCAUUUAACUUCACAAUGGCCAGGAACAGAGCUGUGACAUUGCUGAUGUGAAACUCUCAUUAUAUGAGGAACUGUAUUUUAUUGAGGCAAUGGAUAUAAAUCAUGCAAGAAAAUGAAAGGAGCAGAAAAAUACAAGUGGAACAAGAGGACAUGUCUGUGCAUCCCAGUCAUCUCAGGAUGAACCCUGAGGAACUCUUCAAAGCCUCAGAGUGACUCAGGAAAAGAGAAAAGGGGAACAGUAAGCACAGUGUCCUGGGAACAUCCCAGAGGUGCCAUGGCAAAAAGAAAAUCAACAUAUGGGAUUGUCAAACCAAGAGAGUCUUCACAUGUACUCAAACGACACGUCAGACUUGGAAAACGCAAAUUACUUCAUAUUCAGAUUCAUAGAUUAGAGAUGCUGUUGUACUACACUCCAAGGGGUAAACAAUAAGUCCUUGUUUCCAGACCUCUACAUUUAUAGAAAGGAAGAAUAUCACGCUUUCUCGUAUCCUGCUGAAGAAGAAGCACAUCCCACGCUGACUUGGGUUUCAGAGGAAAUUACAGCACUUCUAAAGAACUGGAAUAGAGAACUACAGAAUA